AGCUCCAGUAGCGUAUACUAAAGUUGUUGCAGUUAAAAAGCUCGUAGUUGGAUUUCUGGCCUGGUGUCGCGUCUCGGCCACUUGAUGGUUCUGAUGACUGCGAAACACCGGGUCAUCCUGCCGCAAUUUCUUCCUGGCUUUAACUAGUCGGGCUGAAGGAACGGCUCGUUUACUUUGAGAAAAUUAGAGUGUUCAAAGCAGGCAUUAUCGCUUGAAUACGUUAGCAUGGAAUAAUACUAUAGGACUCUGGUUCUAUUUUGUUGGUUGUGAGAUCCGGAGUAAUGAUUGAUAGGGACGGUUGGGGGCAUUAGUAUUCCGAAGCGAGAGGUGAAAUUCUUGGACCUUCGGAAGACUAACAACUGCGAAAGCAUUUGCCAAGGACGUUCCCUUUAAUCAAGAA
rnacentral:rRNA from 1 species